rnacentral:rRNA from 1 species
GAUGAACGCUAGCUACAGGCUUAACACAUGCAAGUCGAGGGGCAGCAUGGUCUUAGCUUGCUAAGGCCGAUGGCGACCGGCGCACGGGUGAGUAACACGUAUCCAACCUGCCGUCUACUCUUGGACAGCCUUCUGAAAGGAAGAUUAAUACAAGAUGGCAUCAUGAGUCCACAUGUUCACAUGAUUAAAGGUAUUCCGGUAGACGAUGGGGAUGCGUUCCAUUAGAUAGUAGGCGGGGUAACGGCCCACCUAGUCUUCGAUGGAUAGGGGUUCUGAGAAGAAAGUCCCCCACAUUGGAACUGAGACACGGUCCAAACUCCUACGGGAGGCAGCAGUGAGGAAUAUUGGUCAAUGGGCGAGAGCCUGAACCAGCCAAGUAGCGUGAAGGAUGACUGCCCUAUGGGUUGUAAACUUCUUUUAUAAAGGAAUAAAGUCGGGUAUGGAUACCCGUUUGCAUGUACUUUAUGAAUAAGGAUCGGCUAACUCCGUGCCAGCAGCCGCGGUAAUACGGAGGAUCCGAGCGUUAUCCGGAUUUAUUGGGUUUAAAGGGAGCGUAGAUGGAUGUUUAAGUCAGUUGUGAAAGUUUGCGGCUCAACCGUAAAAUUGCAGUUGAUACUGGAUAUCUUGAGUGCAGUUGAGGCAGGCGGAAUUCGUGGUGUAGCGGUGAAAUGCUUAGAUAUCACGAAGAACUCCGAUUGCGAAGGCAGCCUGCUAAGCUGCAACUGACAUUGAGGCUCGAAAGUGUGGGUAUCAAACAGGAUUAGAUACCCUGGUAGUCCACACGGUAAACGAUGAAUACUCGCUGUUUGCGAUAUACAGCAAGCGGCCAAGCGAAAGCGUUAAGUAUUCCACCUGGGGAGUACGCCGGCAACGGUGAAACUCAAAGGAAUUGACGGGGGCCCGCACAAGCGGAGGAACAUGUGGUUUAAUUCGAUGAUACGCGAGGAACCUUACCCGGGCUUAAAUUGCAGAUGAAUUACGGUGAAAGCCGUAAGCCGCAAGGCAUCUGUGAAGGUGCUGCAUGGUUGUCGUCAGCUCGUGCCGUGAGGUGUCGGCUUAAGUGCCAUAACGAGCGCAACCCUUGUUGUCAGUUACUAACAGGUUCCGCUGAGGACUCUGACAAGACUGCCAUCGUAAGAUGUGAGGAAGGUGGGGAUGACGUCAAAUCAGCGCGGCCCUUACGUCCGGGGCUACACACGUGUUACAAUGGGGGGUACAGAGGGCCGCUACCACGCGAGUGGAUGCCAAUCCCAAAAACCUCUCUCAGUUCGGACUGGAGUCUGCAACCCGACUCCACGAAGCUGGAUUCGCUAGUAAUCGCGCAUCAGCCACGGCGCGGUGAAUACGUUCCCGGGCCU